rnacentral:lncRNA from 1 species
AGCCGCCGGGGCCGCCUAGAGAAGAGGCUGUGCUUCGGCGCUCCGGCUCCUCAGAGAGCCUCGGCUAGCUGGGAUUCUGUCCCUGACCGUCUUCACAGUCCAGGUGAUCUUGACUACUGCUUUACAGAGAAUUGGAUCUGAGGUGUGGAAACAGGAAGAGAACUAGAACUGGAAGUAAAGCAUUGAAGAUGUGACUGAAUUGCUGCAAUCUCAUGAUCAAAUUUGAAUGGAUGAGGAGUUGCUUUUUAGGGAUGAGCAAAGAAAGUGGUUUCUCGAGAUGGAAUCUACUGGUUGCUCCUUGAGGGCAGGACAGUUCUUAUGGCUUUAUCCGUUGCGUAAGCACAGAGAGGUCUGCGAGGUCAAAACUAUUGUCAUGAUAGCAAGAUGCCUGUCUUUUUCAUUUAUUCUCACGGUGUGCAGAGGCUACAUGAUGUGUGAUGACAUCCUCAUUGAUGUUAAUGAAUGGUGCUAUACUUGAAUUUUCUAAGGUGUCAUUAGCAAUUCUCCUGCCUCAGCCUCCUGCAUAACUGGGACUACAGGGAAGCACCAUUUUCCACAAAACUCUCAAGAAGGACUUGUUGCAACUGGAAAAGCAAUUAAAUGUGAAUCGUGAUCCAGGAGAAAGUAACAACUCACAUAACUCCCAAAUUAAAAGUUUUCCAAAGAUAUAUCAUUUUUUUUCUCUUGGCCUUUUAAGAAACUAGCCAACAAAUACUCUUGACAGGUUUGUGUUUGGUUUUGAAAACACACACCUUAGUGUACUGAAAGAAAAACAAUUUCUUUUAAUUUGGUUUGUUGGUCCCACACCCCAUCUAUCAAUGUAUGUGCUAUUUACAAAUAAGUUCUAUACAGUAUUUUUGCAGUACCUUUGAUAAUUCCUAGACCUCUAUUUUCAUUCUGUGUAUUAAUGUGAAUAACAGAUGGAUAUUUUAAUAUUUAAGGCAGAUGGUAAACUUUCCUAUAGGUCUUGUGAGACUUCGUCUUAUAGGCUGAACACCAUUCACAAAAUGUAAUAAUGCUUCAUUCCUUCAGGUUGAGGUAAAGAACUUGAGCAACUGGAUUAGCAAAGCUGCAAAGAAUGAAAUGUGGCCUAAGAUGUAAUUAUGUUCUCUGCCCUUCCUUUGGGCCAGGGUAGUUUUGCACUUGACACAAUGGAAAAUAGGCCAUAAAGCCUGAAAAUAAAAUGUUCUAAACCCCA